rnacentral:rRNA from 1 species
UACGAAGGGGGCAAGCGUUGUUCGGAAUCACUGGGCGUAAAGCGCACGUAGGCGGCUUUUUAAGUCAGGGGUGAAAUCCUGGAGCUCAACUCCAGAACUGCCUUUGAUACUGAGAAGCUUGAGUCCGGGAGAGGUGAGUGGAACUGCGAGUGUAGAGGUGAAAUUCGUAGAUAUUCGCAAGAACACCGGUGGCGAAGGCGGCUCACUGGCCCGGUACUGACGCUGAGGUGCGAAAGCGUGGGGAGCAAACAGG